rnacentral:rRNA from 1 species
UGGGGAAUAUUGGACAAUGGGCGAAAGCCUGAUCCAGCCAUGCCGCGUGUGUGAAGAAGGCCUUUUGGUUGUAAAGCACUUUAAGCGAGGAGGAGGCUACUAGUACUAAUACUACUGGAUAGUGGACGUUACUCGCAGAAUAAGCACCGGCUAACUCUGUGCCAGCAGCCGCGGUAAUACAGAGGGUGCGAGCGUUAAUCGGAUUUACUGGGCGUAAAGCGUGCGUAGGCGGCUGAUUAAGUCGGAUGUGAAAUCCCUGAGCUUAACUUAGGAAUUGCAUUCGAUACUGGUCAGCUAGAGUAUGGGAGAGGAUGGUAGAAUUCCAGGUGUAGCGGUGAAAUGCGUAGAGAUCUGGAGGAAUACCGAUGGCGAAGGCAGCCAUCUGGCCUAAUACUGACGCUGAGGCACGAAAGCAUGGGGAGCAAACAGG